AUUGAACGCUGGCGGCAUGCCUUACACAUGCAAGUCGAACGGUAACAGGUCUUCGGAUGCUGACGAGUGGCGAACGGGUGAGUAAUACAUCGGAACGUGCCUAGUAGUGGGGGAUAACUACUCGAAAGAGUGGCUAAUACCGCAUGAGAUCUACGGAUGAAAGCAGGGGAUCGCAAGACCUUGUGCUACUAGAGCGGCCGAUGGCCGAUUAGGUAGUUGGUGGGAUAAAAGCUUACCAAGCCGACGAUCUGUAGCUGGUCUGAGAGGACGAUCAGCCACACUGGGACUGAGACACGGCCCAGACUCCUACGGGAAGCAGCAGUGGGGAAUUUUGGACAAUGGGCGAAAGCCUGAUCCAGCAAUGCCGCGUGCAGGAUGAAGGCCUUCGGGUUGUAAACUGCUUUUGUACGGAACGAAAAGCCCCGGGUUAAUACCCUGGGGUCAUGACGGUACCGUAAGAAUAAGCACCGGCUAACUACGUGCCAGCAGCCGCCGUAA
rnacentral:rRNA from 1 species